GCUUAACCGGAGAAGUGCAUCGGAAACUGGGAGACUUGAGUGCAGAAGAGGACAGUGGAACUCCAUGUGUAGCGGUGGAAUGCGUAGAUAUAUGGAAGAACACCAGUGGCGAAGGCGGCUGUCUAGUCUGUAACUGACGCUGAGGCUCGAAAGCAUGGGUAGCGAACAGGAUUAGAUACCCUGGUAGUCCAUGCCGUAAACGAUGAGUGCUAAGUGUUGGAGGGUUUCCGCCCUUCAGUGCUGCAGCUAACGCAUUAAGCACUCCGCCUGGGGAGUACGACCGCAAGGUUGAAACUCAAAGGAAUUGACGGGGGCCCGCACAAGCGGUGGAGCAUGUGGUUUAAUUCGAAGCUACGCGAAGAACCUUACCAGGUCUUGACAUCUUCUGCCAAUCUUAGAGAUAAGACGUUCCCUUCGGGGACAGAAUGACAGGUGGUGCAUGGUUGUCGUCAGCUCGUGUCGUGAGAUGUUGGGUUAAGUCCCGCAACGAGCGCAACCCUUAUUAUCAGUUGCCAGCUUUCAGUUGGGCACUCUGGUGAGACUGCCGGUGACAAACCGGAGGAAGGUGGGGAUGACGUCAAAUCAUCAUGCCCCUUAUGACCUGGGCUACACACGUGCUACAAUGGACGGUACAACG
rnacentral:rRNA from 1 species